UCUACAGGUCUCUUCUGCAGUCGUUGGAGGAACAAUGUAAUCCAAUCGUUCAAAAUGGUUACUGCAUAUGAAGCUGUAUCGAGUAGCUCUCCACACUUGGCCAUUGUUGUUUAUUUUCAUAACUGCAUUCUCCCAUUUUUCUAGCAUGAUUGGAUCUUUUAAAGGGAACCUGUAUAUACAUGCAUUUGUAGUUAUAGUAUCAUAUUUUGAUAUAUGACAGGGACAAGGGGUAAUUAAUUUUAUAUUUUGUAGUGUGCUUUUUAUAAUUAAAUUAGCCCAGUGAGCGCCAGGGCUUUCCCCUUGACAAGUGAACUUGUCUGGUGUUAGACAGAGUAAAAUAAUAAAGUAGGGCACAGUGCAACUCAGUGGGUUAAUUUCACAAUUUGUUUCUCUGAGCCCUUUACAGGGCCUUUUUAGGAACAAUUGUCACUUGUGAUAUACAGUAGAACUGUUGUUAUUAAUGGCAUUCAGGC